rnacentral:lncRNA from 1 species
GGGGGACGCAGCAGGGAGGCCUUGUGAGUGGCCAGCAGCUCGGCUUUUCUUGUAAGGGAAAUAGGGAGCCAUUGAAAGGGAGAGACUGGCGAGGUUUAAAGCCCUCGUGAUCUUAAGUGGCGUCCUGGAUACCUUUCAGAGAGCAAACCGUCCAGGGCUCAGAUUUCGGGGUACUCACGAAGAUCUUCGGAUAUCAGCCUCACACGGAUAGGGCUUUCUGCCCCUGGACACAAUGAUGGGCUUAAGACUCUUGCAGAUACAGAAAAAAAAAUUUACCAAAAAUGAGCAGAGAAUCCUGACCUACCAAAGCGAGGCACUGACAUUGCCUGUAACAGAGGUAGGGAACUUCCGGAAACGCCUCCACUCCCCGAACAAUGGAAGGCUCCCUCCCUCCCCAACCUAUCCCGGGAGCCGAGGAAAGUGGUAUCAUGGAAGACACUUGAGACCCUCGUCCACCCGGAGGUGGCACCAGAGGAAUCUACGCAGCAAGCGUAGAUUGAGGAGCCCUUGUCUCCUGUUUUUAAUCUGAUUUUCCUUUCACAGUCUCUGCCUCUAAAGAGUCUAGUUCUUGUGUCUUCGGCCUUUCCCCUGUCCUAAAAUUGCACUGCUCUUUGUAGAAGUCAUUCCUCCCCCUACCUCCCAUGUGCCACACUUUUAAUAAACUAUUUUUCUCCUCUUAAUCUUUGUUUAGAGAUUCUGGCCAAGAACUGUCCCUCCCUCACCCUAUCUUAAGAUACUCGGCACAUUGCCUGUGGUGUACAUUAAAUCUACUUGAG